rnacentral:miRNA from 1 species
UAGCCAAGGACGACUUGCCUA